rnacentral:lncRNA from 1 species
GGCAUAUCUAGACCUUUUACUUCUUGUCUUGGUAGGAAGCCAUACCAAUGAAAUACAACUUUUUUUCCGUUUAGUGUUGAUUAGGUCAUAAACAUGUCAGCUAAAGAAAAAAAUUACAUAAACAAAUGUUAUAAACGUAUCUUGAAUCGUAAAAUAUUUUUUAUCAAAAGCCAGCCCAGCAUGAAAUUAUUAUUUCCUGUAUGUACGAGAGUUAUGAGUAUAUAAAAUGAACACUUUAUCAUAGCAUAUCAAUACCGGAAAUCUGUCUUUCAUCGAUUAAAAUAUUGUUUUAUUUGAUUUAAAAGAUAAAAAAAUUGUACAGUUAAGGUUUUAAAGAUUAAAUGGGGGUAAUCCUGCCUGCAGUUGUAGUUCAUAGUGCAUUUGCCCUGUGACAACUAAAAUUGUAUUCUCAGAUUUGGCGACGUUCAAUAUGGUCUCUAGAUCAUAUCAGAAGUCAAACCUACAUGGGGAUAUUUCCAUGUCUUUAUUUUGACAAUGGUUGUUUUUUUUCGUUAGACACUUAAAUUUGUGGAUAAAGUCAUCCACGAAAAUCACGAAAAUUGGUUCCCCACGAACAAAAGUACUUUCACAGUAUCAAAAUUAAGAGUUGAAACAGAAUUGUGUUAGACAAUGAAAAAGAAUGUAUCCAUAGUACAUGGAUGCCUCACUUGCACUGUCUUUUUCUAUGUUCAGU